rnacentral:rRNA from 1 species
UACAGAGGGUGCAAGCGUUAAUCGGAAUCACUGGGCGUAAAGCGCGCGUAGGUGGUUCGUUAAGUCGGAUGUGAAAUCCCCGGGCUCAACCUGGGAACUGCAUUCAAAACUGUCGAGCUAGAGUAUGGUAGAGGGUGGUGGAAUUUCCUGUGUAGCGGUGAAAUGCGUAGAUAUAGGAAGGAACACCAGUGGCGAAGGCGACCACCUGGACUGAUACUGACACUGAGGUGCGAAAGCGUGGGGAGCAAACAGG